rnacentral:tRNA from 1 species
GGGCUGGUGAGCUCAGUGGGUUGAGCACGAUGCUAACAACAAUGACAACACCGAGAUUGGAGGUUCGAUUCCUGCUCAGUCUC